rnacentral:rRNA from 1 species
CAGCCGCCGCGGGAAAACGGAGGGGGCUAGCGUUGUUCGGAAUUACUGGGCGUAAGGCGCACGUAGGCGGCUUGGUAAGUUAGAGGUGAAAGCCUGGAGCUCAACUCCAGAAUUGCCUUUAAGACUGCCGAGCUAGCAGGUGAGAGAGGUAAGUGGAAUUCCGAGUGUAGAGGUGAAAUUCGUAGAUAUUCGGAAGAACACCAGUGGCGAAGGCGGCUUACUGGCUCAUACUGGACGCUGAGGUGCGAAAGCGUGGGGAGCAAACAGGAUUAGAUACCCGUGUAGUCCCUGUCUCUUAUAA